AUGUUUAGUACACAUUAUGAGAGGUGAUUCGAUUAGACUAGGAUCUAAAGAAUGAUGGGAUCAUAUUAGAAUUCAACACAUGAUUAAAUUGGACUAGGACACCAAAAGAUACACAACUCUUAAACCUGUAGCACAAAGUGUAAAGAUGUUAAAUAUGUAUUGAAUCAGAUCAGAUUAGAACCUCAGAGGUUAUACAAUCC
rnacentral:lncRNA from 1 species